AUUGAACGCUGGCGGCAGGCUUAACACAUGCAAGUCGAGCGGGGUGAUGGUGCUUGCACUAUCACUUAGCGGCGGACGGGUGAGUAAUGCUUAGGAAUCUGCCUAUUAGUGGGGGACAACAUCUCGAAAGGGAUGCUAAUACCGCAUACGGCCUACGGGAGAAAGCAGGGGAUCACUUGUGACCUUGCGCUAAUAGAUGAGCCUAAGUCGGAUUAGCUAGUUGGCGGGGUAAAGGCCUACCAAGGCGACGAUCUGUAGCGGGUCUGAGAGGAUGAUCCGCCACACUGGGACUGAGACACGGCCCAGACUCCUACGGGAGGCAGCAGUGGGGAAUAUUGGACAAUGGGGGGAACCCUGAUCCAGCCAUGCCGCGUGUGUGGAGAAGGCCUUAUGGUUGUAAAGCACUUUAAGCGAGGAGGAGGCUCUUUUGGUUAAUACCCAAGAUGAGUGGACGUUACUCGCAGAAUAAGCACCGGCUAACUCUGUGCCAGCCGCCGCCGUAA
rnacentral:rRNA from 1 species